CCUACGGGAGACAGCAGUGGGGGAUAUUGCACAAUGGGGGAAACCCUGAUGCAGCGACGCCGCGUGUGGGAAGACGGUCCUCUGGAUUGUAAACCACUGUCCCCAGGGACGAAGAUGACGGUACCUGGGGAGGAAGCUCCGGCUAACUACGUGCCAGCAGCCGCGGUAAUACGUAGGGAGCGAGCGUUGUCCGGAAUUACUGGGUGUAAGGGGAGCGUAGGCGGGACUGCAAGUUGGGUGUCAAAUCUACCGGCUCAACCGGUAGCCGCACUCAAAACUGCAGUUCUUGAGUGAAGUAGAGGCAGGCGGAAUUCCUAGUGUAGCGGUGAAAUGCGUAGAUAUUAGGAGGAACACCAGUGGCGAAGGCGGCCUGCUGGGCUUUUACUGACGCUGAGGCUCGAAAGUGUGGGGAGCAAACAGGAUUAGAUACCCCAGUAGUC
rnacentral:rRNA from 1 species